UGUCUUUGGAGACAUGAUCUGUCUGACUCUUAAUUUUGUUCAUGUCUUAGCUUUAGACCCUCUAAAGCUCGAAUCUUUAUAGGCAAAGAGGAGGAAGUGGCUUGAAGAUAACCCAGAAACAACUACUAACAGUCUUUUCUCUUCGAUACCUCGAUUAUCCCAUGGUCGUGCUGCAGUGAUAGAGUUCUUCGUGGAUUAGGCUUUUGUUCCUAUCAUGAAUCCAGAUUUUUUGUAUUGAAAUCUAGAGGUCUGUUUGAACUUUGAAGGUUGAAACAUGGGUUUAAAGAUGUUGUCCAAAAAUCGAAUCUGAAGUUAGCUGCCAGCUGGAGCAAGGUAAACCUGGGAUGCCGUUAGACAAGAGAUUCAUCACGAGUUUAUUGAGUUUAUAGCUUCUGUGUUUUCAGUUUUCACCAGAAUGAUAGGGUAAGCAGCAAUGAGAAUUUUUCUUCUCCGUAGAGAAGCUUAGCUUCUUUAUAAUAAGAAUAAAGAAAUGAACAGAGAUGAAUUGGUUUGCGUUUCAUGGCCUGAUUUUAAGAUUUAAAUAUAAAGUUUUGGCCUUUUGGUUGGUACUUAGCUUAAGAGUUUGUCAUUUAGUUUGAUAUUCGUCAACUUUCAUUUGUAAUUACGUCCCAUAAAUUGUUAUAGAGGACAAAAGUUUUCAGUUGUUUUGGUCAUUUUGACUUGCCUUAUUCUCUAUCAUAAAUAGCUGACAAAAGUGUUUUGCAGAAAAAGAGAGGGGAUAGAGAGAGAGGUAAAGAGAGUUCACCUCAUGAUGUCUCUUAGAGCACCUUUAUCGGGGGACACGACUGAAGUACAAGCCUGGAAUUAUAAUGGGAGGGAAGAACUUGCUUCACAAUUGUGUCCUGUAAAUCCAUCAAACGCUAGAGUUGCGGAAUGGUUCGUGUUCAAGGCUCUGAGUUUUGGCAUAUGCCUAAAGUUCUAAGAUUGAAAGCUGAAGACAGUGAUCAGGUUACAGAGCAAGGGAGAAUUGAGGUUUGAGAAGCACAGCAGAACAAGAAGGAACCUAGUCAUCCUCUGUAACUGCAGCCAUGGCGCUUAACCCUAAGUUGAUGCCCAACGGGAUGUCUGUUCCCUUUGCUAAUGAAAUGUUUGUUUUUGUCCGAGAUGGGGUUGAGUUUGAAGUCGACAAUAUUCCUCGUUUCGAUCUCUGGAGUUGGAGUUUCUCUUGCAACUUCAAUUGGUGCAUCGAGUUCACGCUCAUCCUUAAUUAUCAUGUUGUGUAAAAUUAUAUAUGUAGUCAUGAUGUAAUGUAACAAUUUUUUUCCAAAAACGAAUAUGUCCUUUCACAAUAGCGAAGCGCGAAUGUCAAAUUAUUAAAUAAUGAAAUAUCUUGUUUUUCACGUUA